UACGUAGGGCGCAAGCGUUGUCCGGAAUCAUUGGGCGUAAAGAGCGUGUAGGCGGCCCGGUAAGUCCGCUGUGAAAGUCGGGGGCUCAACCCUCGGAUGCCGGUGGAUACUGUCGGGCUCGAGUACGGAAGAGGCGAGUGGAAUUCCUGGUGUAGCGGUGAAAUGCGCAGAUAUCAGGAGGAACACCUAUUGCGAAGGCAGCUCGCUGGGACGUUACUGACGCUGAGACGCGAAAGCGUGGGGAGCAAACAGG
rnacentral:rRNA from 1 species